rnacentral:rRNA from 1 species
AUUGAACGCUAGCGGGAUGCUUUACACAUGCAAGUCGAACGAGUGGCGGACGGGUGAGUAAUAUAUCGGAACGUUCCCAGUAGCGGGGGCUAACUACUCGACAGAGUGGCUAAUACACCAUACUCUUGGAACGGCCGCUAGCGGAUUAGCUAGUUGCUGGGGUAAAGGCUCACCAAGGCAACGAUCCGUAGCUCGUUGGCGAGGACGACCAGCCACACUGGGACUGAGACACGGCCCAGACUCCUACGGGAGGCAGCAGUGGGGAAUUUGGGAAAAUGGGGGAAACCCUGAUCCAGCCAUCCCGCGUGUAUGAGAAGGCCUUCGGGUUGGAAAGUACUUUUGGCAGAGAAGCGGUAUCUGCAGAAUAAGCACCGGCUAACUACGUGCCAGCCGCCGCGGUAAUUC